UAUUAUCUUGGUUAUCGUUGAGUUGUUAGCGACUUCCGUCGUUCCGUUCACCCGCAUUUGCCGUUUGAAGUUUCGACCCUACCAACAGUGAGAUCUUGUCGGAGAGUACCAGCAUUCCCUUUGUCGGCAUCCACUACCGACGUUCGGAAGUUUUAAAAAAAGGGCACUGUGAAUGUUGAAUCGAUUAGACUCGACUUUUUACAUUGCGUCUUAUAUGGCUAAAAUAUGCCCAGUUUCAAUUUCAUGCAAUUCGGUUCACAAAUGGUCGAGAUGUCAUAAGGGCCUCCCUGCAAAGAUUCAUCGUAAUCGGUCCAUUUGUUUUCCAGAUAUCGUGCAAACGGACCGACAGACGGACGGACAGACACCGCAAAAUUAUGAACUCGCUAGGAGCUCGUUAAUAAUGGCUGAUACUCGACUGCAUAUUGUUGUAACAGAAAUAAAGCUGAUGAUUAUUGUGACGGAAUGAAAUUACUCUGAUGUACAUGGUGGGGCUAAGGCCCUUCGGAUCAUAAUUGCUUCACGUAAUUUGUUUAGUAUACUUUAUAUUGAAAAAAUAAAAUGUUUGAUUGACCUUCGUCAAAUGUCGUAUUUUUAAAAAAGACUGAAAAUGAGGCAGCUCAGAUUCUGGGGGCAUAUACACAGGAGGAGUAAAGAUCAUAUAUUGCAAGUCGCCAAGAAUCUACACGCCGCGGUAUGGAAGGUAGGGCGGCCCUGCUUCACAUGGAACACCACCAUAGACCAAGCGAUUGAGGCCUCGGGGAUACCCAGGGAACGAUGGGUAGAGUGGAGUAGAGAUAAACAACAAAUGAAGACCGAAAGCAGACGAAUGCUUGAAGUGGAGGAAGAAUCCGAUAUAAGUACAAGCAGCCAGGAAGAAGACGCAGAUGAGACAGAAAGCAAUACAGGGGAAAGACAACAAUAAGAAGGGAAAAGCAGCGUAGGAGCGAAGAAGCGAGAGGAACGCCGGGAGGAGGGGCAGUAGAUUGAAAGCUGAGUUCCCACUAAGGCAGUAUACCAGUGGCGAAGCUGUGGCCGUACCCCUUUGGGUCGGAAAGAAAAAAAAAACCAGUUAGCCGCCCCCCUCACAGCCCCCCCAAUCCCCAAAAUCCACCACAUUGUUUGGCAUAUGUCGCGGCCCAGCGCAAUGGCAACAAAGUUGUGGAGAUGUACCCCAGCUGUUAGACUCUACCAGGGAUACAUCCCCACGACAGCUGACUUAAUUCUGGGAGAGGCGGAACCGCCAGGCAUAUGUCAAAGUAUCAAGUAUCAAUUGAAAUGGCAAUUCCCUAAACAAAUUGUAGUUCUGGAUAUCCGAAACUACAAACUUUCCACUAGCACAAAAAACCACAUACCUAUUCAAUUAUAUGUGAUAGUGGAAGAGGUCUUAGUCUGUGCCUCAAUUCAAAACUUAGCCGCCGCCGGAGCGAUUUAGUUUCUCUAAAAAAAAUUCGUCGAUUGGUCAAAUUUUGAGGAAAAACGGGUUAUAAAACAGCGAAAUCGUUAAAAUUAAGGGCAUAAUUAAUACGUUACAUAAAAAAUACGUAAUUUUCAAGUACGUUCCCAUUCUGCAAUUAAAUGUGGGGCGUUCCAUUAAAAAAAAAAGUAAGUUUGAUACGCCACUGAUGGAAUACAGCACGCCACAGGUGAUUAGAAAUAUUCCAUAAAUUUGAGGAAUUAUCCGUUAAGUACUGGUAUACACUUGCCUCUCGUUUUCAAUGAGUCAAGCUUUCUUAUGCAAAUUCUCUUUAGUUUAGAUUAACAGAACCGGAAUUUUCUUGAAAUUUCUCAAUCCGUCUAUUUUGCGGGGGGUACAGCUAGAGCUACAGGUAAAGUAUUCUGUAGUAUUUCUAUUUAGAAAGAAGGAUUGAAGGAUCCCACGCUUUGAUCUCAAUGCACGAUAACCGAAGUGCAAUACGAUUUACAGCUGUGUGAAUUCUAAAUAGGAUGUAAGCAAGCAGUUAUUUAGAUAUAAUUUUCAAGGAAGGGCUUUUUCCCAAACGUGUAGUAGGUACUAUCAAAAGCCUGUGGUCCUGCGUUUUAACAUUGAAUAAAAACGCUAUUUGGUUUUCAUUUUGCAAUCAAGUUCAGACAAGCUUUGUAUAAACUUCGCACACAUGUUACCGGUUCCUAGUGUCUUCGAGCGUAUGUCUGAAUUGAUUAACAAAUCAAUGGCGCAAUCAAGGCCGCACGUACUCCUGAUUCCAAGUAGGCGAUUAUAAUAUAAUCUUUCUUGUGGUUUAGCGAAUUUUGUAUAAGAUACACCCCCUUUAAUUUAAUUAAUUUCUUAUUUACCUAUUUAUUAAUCAUUAAUGCGACUUUGGUUAAAGUAGGUAAAGCAUGACAUUCAAAUCUGGCAACACUACCCAAGGCCAAAGGUUAUAGUUAUAGCAUUGAAUAUAAACACAGUUAUAGGAGCGAGAAUUGAGAAACGCAUUUGGUCGUUUCUGUUUGUCAGUACCUUGCAAGUGCAAACGCGGCAAUGCUUUCUUCUCAUUUCACGUGAGGUGUGAAUACUGAAUAGAACGAGACAGAUGAGCUUCUGUAGCUUAACGCUAUAACGUCAAUCCGCUUAUACUGCUGUUUUGCAAUUGAGGCAGAGCGUUGAGUGGGAUUUAUCACUCAACGGGCAGAGGCAAGCAUUCGUCUCGCCCCGCAUCCGUGUGCAAGCUUUCUUUCAAUUCUUUCAUUGUUAACUAUUUACAUUUAGCAAUUAGCACAGUGUGGUCUGGCAAGUACUUAUGAUUGUUUAACGUUUAACCCCUGAUUGAAUUGAAUAUACGGUUUAAGUAUUUUAAGUGUCUGAUUUGAUAGUGCCCGUUAUCUGCCACAGUAAGAUGUACAAACCUACAAGUCGUUCAGCAAAGCAUAUAUCAAUUAAACGUAAACUAGCAUCUCUGAAGCAUGUACGCUAUGCAACAGAUCAAAAAAAGAAUAUGGAAACCUACGCUUGUACCUCGACUUCCUCGACAACUGUGUUAAAAUCUAAUGGGGAUGCUAAACAAACAAACAUUAAUAACAAACAUAUGUUCGGUACUAACAUACCCAAUUCUUUUGAUUCACAUGAUGAAUCUGUGCAUGAAAUUGAACAUCUACAACUUAACAUCUCUAGUAAUUCAAGUUCGAACAGCAAUAGUGUUUGCGACAUUGAUAACCAAAAUUUACCUAGUGACUGUAAUACACAUAUGGUUCCUUCAAUAACUACUUUACCAGAAGAACUGAAGUUUUGGUCGAUAACAGAAAAAGUUACUCAUAAACAAUUAAAUUCUUUAUUACGGAUUUUAAAAAAAUACCAUAGCGGCUUACCUUUAUGUUCAAAAACAUUAUUAAACACUAGUGAUAAUUAUGAAGUAAAAAAUAUGGCAUCCUUACGAAACACUACUGGCGAAUUUGUGUAUUUUGGAGUACACAAUUUUUUAACUAAUUUCCUUGAUAAAUUUCACCAAAUUUACCUACAGCAUGAUGAAAAAAUUGUUUACUUGCUCAUAAAUAUUGAUGGAAUACCAAUUCAAAAAAGUACUUCUAAUCAACUUUGGCCAAUCUUAGCAUCAGUUAUAUCGCCAGACUUUAAAAGUACUCCGUGGCCAAUUGCCAUAUUUUAUGGUGACAGUAAACCGUUUUCAAUAGGGGAAUUUUUGGCACAAUUCAUUAUUGAAAUGAAACACUUGACUAUUCAUGGUCUUUUACAUAAUAACACUCAGUAUUCCAUUAAAAUUAAAUCAUUUAUUUGUGAUGCUCCUGCAAGAGCUUUUAUUAAAUGCAUUAAAAGCCAUAACAGUUAUUAUGGUUGUGAACGGUGCACAAUUAGAGGUGUUUAUUUAGACAACAAAGUGGUAUUUCCUGAUUUAAAUUGUGACUUAAGAACGCACAUCUCUUUUAUAAAUAGACAUAAUAAAGAACACCAUGUUAGCACAUCUCCUUUAGUACAAUUAGAUAUUGAUCUUAUUAACGAUGUAACUUUGGAUUACAUGCAUAUGGCUUGUUUAGGGGUGAUGAAAAGACUUCUUAAUUUAUGGAUUAAAAUUCGAAGUGCAAACAGCUUAUCGCGCUGUAAAAUAAUUUUAAUUAGUAAUCUACUACAUUCUGUCAGAAAUUAUAUUCCUGUUGAAUUCCAAAGAAAACCAAGAACCUUGAAUGAGCUUGACCGUUGGAAAGCAACAGAAUUUAGAUUUUUUAUGUUGUACAUUGGACCAAUUGUUUUAAACAAUUUUUUACCUAAAAAACUGUAUAAGAAUUUCCUAUAUUAUCACUGUGCCAUACGAAUAAUAUGUUCAAAAAAGCUACUGGAAGAGUAUGGAUGUGUUGCUAUUGAUUGCAUAAAAUUUUUUUUUUGUGGUGUUAAAAAAAUUUACGGUGAACAAGAAACUUCAUAUAAUAUGCAUUCUAUUUAUCAUUUGGUACAUGAUGCAGUUACAGCAAAUAUUCCAGUUGAUCAAAUUAGUUGCUUCGUUUUUGAGUCAUUUUUAGGAAAACUUAAACACUUAAUUCGCACCCCUAAUAAACCACUAUCCCAAAUUUGUAGAAGAUUGUCUGAAAAUUUUCCAACUAUUUCGUUGUAUCGCCAAAGCAAUAACAUCAUUAAUAUAAAAAAAAUAAAUUAGGUUUUAUAAACUUUAUUGAAUACGACAAUUUUUGUAUUAAAGCUGAUACUAGUGCAGAUUCAUAUAUAUGGUUAAAGAACAAUAAAGUAAUGCAUGUAGCAAAAAUUGAAGAAAUUGGAACAGAAUUAUUUUUUUUUGGUCAUGUUUUUCAAUCAUAUAGUAAUUUAUAUUCCAUAUAUUCAAUUACUUCCUCAAAAUUAUACACAUCCGUGGUAUCAGAUAAAAGCUCUUUUCUUUUUAAAAUAAAUGCCAAAGACUUUUUUUCCAAAUGUGUGGUUUUUAUUGUUGAAAAUAAUAUGGUUGCAGUUGCAAUGUUGCAUCACACAAAUUAAUAUACGUAUUAUUAGUAGGCACAGUGAUUUUACACUUCACCUGAAAUUAUACAUGUAUAAUAGUUAAAAUAACUAAAUCAAACAGCGAAAUUUAUUUACUUGCAUCAUAUAAGCACUUUGAUUUGGUACUUGAGUAUAGUAGGUAACUUACUAAACGCAAAUCAUAAAUGUAACUUGCUUUAGUUUUAGAUUAGGUAAGCACUGUAUUGUAUCGUAAAAAAUAAUUUUGGCACUUUCAAGUUUUCAACAUCACUAAUAAUGUGGGAUGUUAUUAUUUGGACAACUGAAAAUACGACUGAUGUUGUGCCGUCAUCCUGGGUUGUCGAUUCCGCUGUUCGAAAUAAGUAUAUGUACCCAAAGCAAAUUAAAUCCAGCAAAUUAAAAAAAAUUAUUAAAAACUGUGAGGAACCAUCCACCAAAUAUGUAUACACUGAGUUGGAUGCAGUUUUCAAAAAGACCGUCAACUCCUACGCAGAAGGUGAGAAAAUGUUACACACGCUGGAAAACACUUCUUCCCUUGACACUGACGGUACUCGAUCAUGUAUAGACAAAAGCCCAUCGCCGUGCAGUAGUGUUCAUGCACCACCAGGAGAUGGUUUUCGAGAGUCAUUGCUGCCAAUUCUAGACAAAAUAAAUGGGAAUUAUAAAUUAAUUUUAGAAGAAAUAGCUAAAAUCUCUAUAGAAUUAAAGGACCUAAGAAAUGGUCAAAAUCAUCUCCGAAUGAAGUUGUCUAAUGUUUACGAAAAACAAAGUAUACCAGAAUGGCCUCUACCGCUACCUAUAAAAACUGACGCCGACUUUAUAGACGCAGAGAAUUUGUUGCCGGAAAAACAUGACGCUCUGGUGAAAAUAAUUUCACUGGUAGGAGGGAAUUCUCUAAGACAGACAAUCUCCUUCAUGAUAAAGAGAUUGAUAUCCAAAGAUAUCGCUCUCCAAUACUCGACGAAAGGACGGAAAGGGAAAAAAAAUUUUUCGCAAACAAGGUUCUAUAACAUCAUUAUAAGUGCUGCAAGAGGUGUUUACGAGAAUGCAACUGAUUUAGCUAUAUCACAAAUGAUCGGAUUUGCAUUGGCUUCAGCUUCCGAUUGGGAGGGAGGCAACAGAAGGAAGCUGAAGCCUGUGGGAGAGGAAAGCAAGCCUGUGGGAGAGGAAAGCAGUGCAGACGGGGUUGUCGCAGAAAAUGAGGAUCAACAGGUGGAACCUAUCGAAUUAAAUUGACACAAGAAUCACAAUGUACAUGUUCUAGUUCUUAAUGGUGUUUAUGUUCAUGAUUUUUAAAUUGAAUUUGGUUUUUUAGUAUGUACUUAUAUAGUAUUUGUAAGUAGAUUUGUUUAUUAGUUUUUUUUUUAAAUAUAAUGCAGUUGGGUUUAAA